GAUGAAGAACGCAGCGAAAUGCGAUAAGUAAUGUGAAUUGCAGAAUUCAGUGAAUCAUCGAAUCUUUGAACGCACAUUGCGCCCGCCAGUAUUCUGGCGGGCAUGCCUGUUCGAGCGUCAUUUCAACCAUCAAGCCCCCCGGCUUGUGUUGGGGACCUGCGGCUGCCGCAGGCCCUGAAAAGCAGUGGCGGGCUCGCUGUCACACCGAGCGUAGUAGAUCUCAUCUCGCUCAGGGCGUGCUGCGGGUUCCGGCCGUUAAACCACCUUCAUAACCCAAGGUUGACCUCGGAUCAGGUAGGAAGACCCGCUGAACUUAAGCAUAUCAAUAAGCGGAGA
rnacentral:misc_RNA from 1 species